GUGACUGCGUACCUUUUGUAUAAUGGGUCAGCGACUUAUAUUCUGUAGCAAGGUUAACCGAAUAGGGGAGCCGGAGGGAAACCGAGUCUUAAUUGGGCGUUAAGUUGCAGGGUAUAGACCCGAAACCCGGUGAUCUAGCCAUGGGCAGGUUGAAGGUUGGGUAACACUAACUGGAGGACCGAACCGACUAAUGUUGAAAAAUUAGCGGAUGACCUGUGGCUGGGGGUGAAAGGCCAAUCAAACCGGGAGAUAGCUGGUUCUCCCCGAAAGCUAUUUAGGUAGCGCCUCGUGAAUUCAUCUCCGGGGGUAGAGCACUGUUUCGGCUAGGGGGCCAUCCCGGCUUACCAACCCGAUGCAAACUGCGAAUACCGGAGAAUGUUAUCACGGGAGACACACGGCGGGUGCUAACGUCCGUCGUGAAGAGGGAAACAACCCAGACCGCCAGCUAAGGUCCCAAAGUCAUGGUUAAGUGGGAAACGAUGUGGGAAGGCCCAGACAGCCAGGAUGUUGGCUUAGAAGCAGCCAUCAUUUAAAGAAAGCGUAAUAGCUCACUGGUCGAGUCGGCCUGCGCGGAAGAUGUAACGGGGCUAAACCAUGCACCGAAGCUGCGGCAGCGACACUGUGUGUUGUUGGGUAGGGGAGCGUUCUGUAAGCCUGUGAAGGUGGCCUGUGAGGGUUGCUGGAGGUAUCAGAAGUGCGAAUGCUGACAUAAGUAACGAUAAAGCGGGUGAAAAGCCCGCUCGCCGGAAGACCAAGGGUUCCUGUCCAACGUUAAUCGGGGCAGGGUGAGUCGACCCCUAAGGCGAGGCCGAAAGGCGUAGUCGAUGGGAAACGGGUUAAUAUUCCCGUACUUGGUGUUACUGCGAAGGGGGGACGGAGAAGGCUAUGUUGGCCGGGCGACGGUUGUCCCGGUUUAAGCGUGUAGGUGUGUGUUCCAGGUAAAUCCGGUUCACUUUAACACUGAGGCGUGACGACGAGGCACUACGGUGCUGAAGCAACAAAUGCCCUGCUUCCAGGAAAAGCCUCUAAGCAUCAGGUAACAUCAAAUCGUACCCCAAACCGACACAGGUGGUCAGGUAGAGAAUACCAAGGCGCUUGAGAGAACUCGGGUGAAGGAACUAGGCAAAAUGGUGCCGUAACUUCGGGAGAAGGCACGCUGACACGUAGGUGAAGUGAUUUACUCAUGGAGCUGAAGUCAGUCGAAGAUACCAGCUGGCUGCAACUGUUUAUUAAAAACACAGCACUGUGCAAACACGAAAGUGGACGUAUACGGUGUGACGCCUGCCCGGUGCCGGAAGGUUAAUUGAUGGGGUCAGCGCAAGCGAAGCUCCUGAUCGAAGCCCCGGUAAACGGCGGCCGUAACUAUAACGGUCCUAAGGUAGCGAAAUUCCUUGUCGGGUAAGUUCCGACCUGCACGAAUGGCGUAAUGAUGGCCAGGCUGUCUCCACCCGAGACUCAGUGAAAUUGAACUCGCUGUGAAGAUGCAGUGUACCCGCGGCAAGACGGAAAGACCCCGUGAACCUUUACUAUAGCUUGACACUGAACAUUGAGCCUUGAUGUGUAGGAUAGGUGGGAGGCUUUGAAGUGUGGACGCCAGUCUGCAUGGAGCCGACCUUGAAAUACCACCCUUUAAUGUUUGAUGUUCUAACGUGGACCCGUGAUCCGGGUUGCGGACAGUGUCUGGUGGGUAGUUUGACUGGGGCGGUCUCCUCCUAAAGAGUAACGGAGGAGCACGAAGGUUGGCUAAUCCUGGUCGGACAUCAGGAGGUUAGUGCAAUGGCAUAAGCCAGCUUGACUGCGAGCGUGACGGCGCGAGCAGGUGCGAAAGCAGGUCAUAGUGAUCCGGUGGUUCUGAAUGGAAGGGCCAUCGCUCAACGGAUAAAAGGUACUCCGGGGAUAACAGGCUGAUACCGCCCAAGAGUUCAUAUCGACGGCGGUGUUUGGCACCUCGAUGUCGGCUCAUCACAUCCUGGGGCUGAAGUAGGUCCCAAGGGUAUGGCUGUUCGCCAUUUAAAGUGGUACGCGAGCUGGGUUUAGAACGUCGUGAGACAGUUCGGUCCCUAUCUGCCGUGGGCGCUGGAGAACUGAGGGGGGCUGCUCCUAGUACGAGAGGACCGGAGUGGACGCAUCACUGGUGUUCGGGUUGUCAUGCCAAUGGCACUGCCCGGUAGCUAAAUGCGGAAGAGAUAAGUGCUGAAAGCAUCUAAGCACGAAACUUGCCCCGAGAUGAGUUCUCCCUGAGACUUAGAGUCUCCUGAAGGAACGUUGAAGACGACGACGUUGAUAGGCCGGGUGUGUAAGCGCAGCGAUGCGUUGAGCUAACCGGUACUAAUGAACCGUGAGGCUUAACCUU
rnacentral:rRNA from 1 species